rnacentral:rRNA from 1 species
AAAAAGUAAAACUUCAGACCUUAAACUUACACUUUAAUAGAUGUAAUAGACUCUCUCAAAUGGCGUGCCAGCAGUCUCGGUUAUACGAUUAGACUUUAAAAUAUAUAAAUUCUUCAUAAGUAUUAUUCAUAAAAAAGCAAAGUCACAAAAAGUGAAAUUUUGAAAUUCUCUAAUGUUAAAAAUGAAGAAAAACAUAACCGCGAAGGAAAAGGAUUAGAUACCCUUCUACUAAUUUUUCCAAAGGUAAUAAAUGGAAUUCAUCAAACCUAAAAGAAUUGGCGGUCUUUAACCCACUCAGGGGGAUUUGCCCCUUAAAUCGAUAACCCCCGAUUAAAAAGACCUACCUUUUUAGCAUGUAUAUCGCCGAAGGAUUUAGAAAACUUUUCCAGAAUUUCAGGUAAAAUACAGCUCAUAGGGAGGAGAAGGUUAAUCACAAAAAAGAUUUUCCAUUAAAGUUUUCUAAAAAAUAAGGACCUGAAAGUAAAAUUUUCAUAGAAUAAGAAUUUGAAAAGGCAAUCGAAGAUGCACAUAUCGCCCGUCACCCUAAAAUUUAGGUAAGUCGUAACAAAGUAGAAGUUUCGGAAGAAGCCUCUUGU